UUCUAAAUUGAUGCUCCCCGUUUUUGUGUAUGUUUCGUGUUCUGUUUAUAGGGAUUAAAUCCUUUAAUUUGAAAAAUAGAUCAAUCCCAACUGGUUCUGGAUUUGAUUUGAUUUUUGUGAAUUAACUCUAUGAUUUUAUUUCUUCCCCUUUUCAAUGAUUUUAGGAAUUAAGAAUUAAAUUCACAGAUUGAAUCAAAGCUUUCCCUG
rnacentral:lncRNA from 1 species